CCGAAAUCCCAACCGCAAGUCCGUGAUGGCACCUAACGUCCACUUACUUGGCAAGCCAACUUAGUACAUAACAAAUCAUUUUUAAACUAAUUCAAAAGCAAUUUAAUAAGAAAUAAAGCUGUAAAAAUUCAAAAUAGAUAUAAUACCUUCAAACGCUGACUAAUCAAAUUUCAAAAUCUGGUGUCACAAGUACAUGAGCAUAGUAGAAGUGCUACAACCAAUGUCUGAAUGAAAAUACAAUUAUUUGAAACAAAAUAAACUGUAAAACUAGAUUAAAAAAAGGGGACUUCAGGGACUACAAUCGCCAUGCAGCUCUACCUAGAGUCUCCAUGAAAAGCUUAUCCGACUGAGUCUCCUCUAACUGAUGCUGGGACCAACACCAGAAUUUGCAUAAGAAGUACAGAAGUGUAGUAUGAGUACAACCGACCCCAUAUACUCCAUAAGUACCGAGUGUGACGAUCUGGUCAGUUGUCUCAUGAGUUACCGCUCCAUUUUCUCUAUUUCUUCUUCUUUAUGCUUUGUUUAUCCGUGUUAUGUGGUAUCGGGUGGGUCAGAUCGAAUCCGGAAUGAUUUUGGUAAGAUUUGAGACACUUAGUCUCUUUUGAGGAAGCUUAAGUUGGAAAAGUCAACUGGAUGUUGACUUAUAUGUUAGAGGGCUCAGAUGUGAGUUCUGAUGGUUUGGAUAGCUUCGGGAGAUGAUUUGGGACUUAGAAGCGCGAUCGGGAUAAGUUUUGAAGGUUCAGAGUAGAUUUAGGCUUGAAUUGGCGAAGUUGAUAUUUUGGCGAUUUCCGGUUGGUAGGCGAGAUUUUGAUAUAGGGGUCGGAAUGGAUUUUCGAGAGUUGCAAAAGCUCCAUUGUGUCAUUUGGGAUGUGUGUGCAAAAUUUUAGGUCAUUCAGACGUGGUUUGGUUGGGUUUUUGAUCGAAAACAUAAUUUAAGAGUUUUUGGAGUUCUUAGGCUUGAAUCCUAUGUUAAAUUGGUGUUUUGAUGUUGUUGUUAGCAUUCCAAAGAUUUAAACAAGUUUGAAUGAUGUCAUGGGAUGUGUUGGUACAUUUGGUUUGAAGCCCCGGGGGCUCGGGUGAGUUUCGGGUAGGUUCUGGGAUGUUUUAGGCCAAAAACAUAGUUGUUGCAGGUUCAGAGAGGUUGCAAACACUAGUGCGGUCCACAAAGGAUUUUGUGCGGCCGCGGUGGGGGCUUUGCAGCCACACUCAAUUUUGUCCGGUCCGCGGUGAGAAAGGUUUCACUGGUCUGACUUCGGAAGCUUAUAUCUUUUGAUCUAGAAGGAAUUUGAUGAUCAUUCAAAAACAAAAAUUGUAGAGCUUUGAAUCUAGUUUUGAGAAACAUAUUAUAAUAGCCAUUUGGAAAUCUGUAGCGAAGGUUAUGGCCGAAAUACCAAAGCCGGUCACUGCAGUCAAAUCCACCGCGGUCAGCACUGGUUUUUGUGCGGUCAGCGGUGCUCCACCGCGGUCCACACUUGAUUUUGUGCGGUCAGUAGUGGUAGAAAUCCGGGAGGUGCUCUAUAAAUACGAGGUUUAGGGUUUUAUUUUAUAUUUUGACCUAGAGAGCUCGAAUUUUGGCGAUUUUUCGAAGGUUUUUGAAGAAAUUCAUCGGGGUAAGUGAUUCUAAUUCAGAUUUGGCUAGAGUACAUGAAUCUAUCAUUGAAUUCAUCAUUUGAUUCAUUAUUUGGGAUGAAAUUUGGGAAGAAAAUCUGUGAAACCUUUCAAAAAUGUAAAAUGAUGAUUUGAAGGACCAAAUGGUAUCGGAAUUGGAUAUUUUUGAGUGGGCUUUGUUCCCUUAAUAUAUUUUGAUGGUUUUGUACUGAUUUAGGUUAGAUUUGGAGCAUCCGGAGGCCGAUUAGAGAGGCAAGGGCAUCACAGGAUAGAGUUCGAACUGCAUAGAGGUAAGUAAUGAUUGUAAAUGUUGUCCCGAGGGUAUGAAACCUUGAAUUUCAUAUCGUUGUGCUACUUUGAGGUGACACACACGCUAGAUGACGAGCGUGGGGUGUGCACCAUUGGGUAUUUUGACUUAGUCCGUCCAGUAUGACUUUUAAAUCGCGUAUUUGAUUGAAAACUAUUUGAUAUCAUUGUGUUUUGGAAAGUAUUAUCAUGUUUUGGACUGAAUGCCAUAUUUGGGCCUUGUGCCAACUGUUUUGGACCCUUAGGGGAUUUUUACUACUAUUCCUCACUGUUUUGACUUCAUAUUUGUACUCAGUCAUGUUGUAUUCUACUGUUUUCAUAACUCAGCCAUAUUUACUCCGUUUUGAUAUUUUAAAUGAUAUUUUGGGUUGAGCAUCAUGUUUUACUAUUGCCCGAGUGGCAUGAGAGAUUUCUGAUAGAGUGAGGCCGAGGGCUUGUGUUGUGAGGAUAUUAUGGGAUCGGGCUGCGCGCCGUAGCAAUGUUAUAUUAAUUCAUGAUUUUGAGGCCGAGGGCCUGAUUUGUUACGCCACGAGGUGGCUUGUUGAUAUGAGGCCGAGAGCCUAUUUGAUUAUGCCACAAGAAGGCUUGUUAUUGCGCUUGGGCCGUAAGGGGCCCCUCCAGGAAUCUGUACACCCCCAGUGAGCGCGGGUACCCAGUGAGAGUGAUAUGAUGUAGCCCGAUGGAUUGUUGUUGUUUCAUGUUAUUACCCGAGGGGCGGUUCUUUAUUCAUGUUAUGCCCGAGCAGCUGAUUACGAGUGAUUGUGAGGUAGUCCAAAAGGUUGGUUCUGUUCAUAUUAUGCCCGAGGGGCGGUUUAUGAUACAUGUUUUGCCCGAGGGAUUGUUUAUGUUUCUACCCUUUUCUCACUAUUUUCAUCACUCGUUUGAAACUAUUGAAAGAUGUUUUAAAAGGAAAUAGUUUUAUUGAAACUGAGUUAUUUUACGAGAAAAUGGUUUCUGUACUGUUUUUGAGAAAUAUACAGUAUUUGUUGUAGUGCUAUGAUGGAAAAUUAUGUGUUUUCUUUCUGCUCAGCUUUCAUUUACUUUUAUUACUUUUUGAGUUGGCGUACUCACAUUACUCCCUGCACCAUGUGUGCAGAUCCAGCAGUUGCGGGUCACGAUAGUGAGCAUUUAUUGUCCAUUCAGCAGGAUUUCGGAGUCGACAAGGCAGCUGCAUGGCGUUCGCAGCCCUGUUCUUCUCCCUCCUAUCUUCCCUAGCUUUAGUUAGUAUGGUCUUCCAGUCUUGUUUAGACUUUAUUGAAUUGAGACAGAGAUGUAGUUUCUCAUGACUUGUGACACCCCGAUGUCGGGCUUGUAUGUUUGUUCUGCACUGGUUAUUUAGACAUAUACUAUAAGAUUUCUUGUUGAUUAAUGGCAUAAAAAUGAGUGUUAUAGAAAAAUGGUUAGAUUUAGGAAUUGUGUCGGCUGACCUGGUUCCACGAUAGGCGCUAUCAUGACCGGAUCAGUUUUAGGGUCGUCACACCGAGUCUAACCUCGACGAAGUAGUAACAAGGCUAUAACAAGGCACUCACUAUAAACCUGUACGAAUAUAAAUGAAAUAAUAGCAGGAAUAGAGAAAGUAAGAAUUUAACAUAAAAUCGGAACUGAAAAGCAUAACAGAGGGCCCUAAAAUAACACUUGUACUCAACUUCUGAAUUCAACACGGAUACAGUAACAACAAUUAAACAUAAUAAAAUAUAUCUUCUCUGUUGCAGCGUGCAACCCGAUCCACAAAUAUAUAUACAUGACAAAUCUUUUAUGUUGAGGCGCGCAAUAUAUAUAUAUAUAUUCAUUACAGUGUGCAAUCCGAUCCCACACAAUAAUAUCAAUAAUUAUUGCAGUGAGCAACUGGAUCCGACACAAUAAUAAUAUAAAUGGACAACCUUAACCAACUAUGACGUAUCUCAAAUAAAACACAAUAAGAUAAUUAAAGAACUAAACAAGGUUAUAAAACAAGUAAAAGCAGUUAAUAAAUAAAGACAUGGAUACAUGAAAACAAUUAGCAACUUAAGGCACGCAAUGGAUAAAAAGGCAUAAAUUUAACAAGUAAGGGCAAGUAACAAUUAGAGCAUUUAAUAAGUAAUAACAUGGAAUAAAUGAAAAUAAAAAAUGAUUGAAGACAAUAAAUAAAUAUCCCAGCCCCAGUGCUUCACCCGUAACUAUGCAUAUACACUCGUCACUUUGCAUAUACGCCUUCCCCACAUAUAAAUCAAGUAACAAUUAACCAGUCAAGUUCUAAUUCUCUCAAGUCAAGGUUAACUACGGCACUUACCUUUUCCUGCAACCAAAUCAAUGAUCAACCACGACUUUUUCUUAGAAUUAGCCUGCAAACCAAUCAAAUCUAGCCAAAUAUAGUUUAAAUAAUUCAAAAUAAGCUUUAGAAACUACCUACGAGUGAAAAAGAUUCAAUCUUUAAUGAAAUAAAAAAAAGUCAACAAAAGUUAACCCCGGGUCGGCUUGGUUAAAACUCGAGAUUCGGACCAAAGCCCGAUUACCCAUUCACCCCAAGCCCGUUAUGCAAUUUAUUUCAAAAUCCAACCUCAAUUUUAUAAAUUUUUUAAUUUCUACCAAAAACCCCUAAUUUCUACCAUGAAGUUCAUAGAUUAACGUUAAAAAUCAAUAGGUGAUUAUCGAAAUACAUCAAAAAUAGUUAAAAAUCACUAACCAAUGAAGUUGGGAUGAUAAUCUCCUUAAAAUCCUCUCUAGUCCGAGCUCUAGCUUUCAAAAAUGGCAUUGAAUGAAUAAAUUCCGACUUUCAGCUAUUAAAAUAACUAGGCGUCAGGUGUUCUUUGCGUUCACUAAGCACCCGCCAUGUUCGCGAAGUAUGGCCCAAUUUCCUUCGCGGUCGCAAAGUCUACAUCGCGUUUGCGAAGGCUUAUUAUCCAAUCUGCCUUCGUAUUCGUGUCCCCAAGGUCCGUGUUCACGAUGACGACCCCUACCAUCCCCCCAGGUCAUCCCCAAAGCUUCACGUUCGUGAGUGGCAAACCGUGUUCGCGAAGGGUAAUGCACCGUAUACUUCGCGUUCACGAAAAGUAACCACCCCUAGCCCAAAAUUUCCCCUUUGCGAUCAUGGUAGAGGCUUCACGAUCGCGAUAGAGGCUUCGCGAUCGCGAAGCACUGGACACCAGAAGCAAAAACCAGCAGUUCCAACAAGUUCAAAAAUAGUCCGAAAUAAAUCUAAAACUCACGCAAACCACUCGGCUCCAAACCGAACAUGCACACAAGUGUAAUAACAUCAUAUAAACUUGCUCGCUACCUCAAAUUAUCAAAAUAACAUCAAAUAAUGAGAAUUGAUCAUCAAAACUCAAGUUUUCAACUUGAAAACUCAUUUUUAAAAUCUUUCACAUAAUGUGCCAAAACGCGCUUGGGUCGUCCCGGACCCUAACCAAACGUGAGUACAACUCCAAAAAUAUCAUACAAACCUAUCAGAAUUUUCAAUACACCGAUCCAAGGUCGUUUACUAAGAAAGUUGACGUGGUCAACUCAAGUUAUUUUUAAAGCCAAAAUCACAUUUUCUUUUAAAUUAACGUAAAAGCUUUUCGAAAAAUGAUACAAACCAUGUACACAAGUCAUAUAACAUCUAAUGAAGCUAUGGGAGGUUUUGAAACACAAAAAUAAGGGUUAGUAUCCAAAACAACCUAUCGGAUCGUCACAUGCUCUUAAAAACCUAGGGGUCCAUUAGGUUUCUUGGUGGCUACUCUACCCGAAACCUUAACGUGGAGGCUACUCCAUCCAAAUCCCUACCUCACAUUUAUAAAAGGAGUCACAUAUUCACUUCGAAAGUAUCUCAAAAAUUUCAUAAACUCACGAAAUACUCACAAAAAGAUCAAGAAGAGGCACGAUACUUCUGACAAUCAAAUAGUUCAAGAAGAUCCACAACAUCCUUGCAUGGAGAUCAAAUACAUUUUACCUUCGAGAAAUAUGCUGCUCCAACCCUCGAGUCACAAAGAUAAUCAGGCCAGAAGAAUCAAGAGAACAAACAGAAUUGUAUCCAUAUUAUUUAUCAAUAAAAUUAUAUUUUUUCAUAUUUAUAUUAUGAUUGCAGUUUAUGAGUUGUCACACCUCCGUUUUCCCGAGGGGAUAAAGAAUUUUUUCAAUUAAAGUGACAUUAUCAAAAUGAGAUUAUUUAAUUAAUCAGAGUAGCCACUUGGAAUAAUUUAUGGUGUCUCAAUUCACCAGUUCAUUUAAAAUCCCAAAUCGAGGAAGUUUUGACCCUAUUUUUACAGUCUGCAAAAUACAAAAAAUCGGGUAAGGAACUUUGUUAACCUAGGAGAAGGUGUGAGACACACCCGAAUUUCGUGGUUUUAGCACGCUUGCUCAACUGUUAAUAAUUGACCUAAUUAUCUGAUUAAUUACGUGUUUAAAAUAUUUUAUGCAUUUUUUACUUUCUAACUUUUACUUAUUUUAAAUUUGUUUGAACAAGUCACGAUUGUCGCGCACUCGUUUGUUUUGUACAUAUCGCAAACCACGUCACAGGAACCGUACCCACGAUCUACAACAUGCUUAUUUUUAUUACUAUUCGAAGUUAUGGUCGGGUCACAUGAAAUACACACCCGAAUUUGGAUUUAUGUAUCGUAACUAUGCCACGAGAACCGUACCCACAGUCACGAGAAUUUAUUUAUGCGCCUAAAAAUUUUCUACCCAAGUUAAUGGCCUAAACAUGCUCGUAGCGAUUUGAAUAAAAAUAUAAAAUCAAUUAAAGAUAUCUAAAUCCAAAUUAUCCUUCACAUUUUAUGUCCAGACCCUCGACCUAAGGAACCAUGAUAAAACAAAAAAAUAAAUCAAGACGUUCGUAAGUUCAAGUCCCUACGGUCCAAUUCUCAUUAAUUCAUGAUGAUUCCCCAAUGAACCAAUACUUGUCUCAAAUAAUAAAUUAACGCCCACCUAAUUGAAUUUAAUUAUAGAAAAGGACAGAUGAUUUGUAUUAGUAGUUAAAAUGACAAUUAUUUACUAAUUGGAUGAAANNNNNNNNNNNNNNNNNNNNNNNNNUAUCUCCUUCUAGUGACUGAAUCUCAACAAGCAAUUAUCAAACAUUCAAGCUAAUCACAACAUAUGUCAAUUAGUUCAUAUAUCCUCAACAAUCAUAUAUUUGAUUAAAAAAAAUAUAAUAACAGAGAAGGGAUUAGAAUGGACUUUUAGUCGAGAUUUCUUCUCCGAUUAAAUGACAGAAUCUUAAAAAUCAUAUAGAUAUGCUCUAUUUGAAAAGUGCAAAAUAAGAAUAUCCAGCGACGGACUUUAGAUAAAAAAUGAACUGAAAUUCCCAAAAUUGAACCGCACCAGAACCUUUGACCGCACCACCUCGACAAUCUUUAUUUUAGAACCACAGACGGUAUCUCCAAUCUUGAGACGAAACUUAAUUGUUUCCUCUAGUUUUUCAAUUUUUAUCGAUUCCUUCCUAUGUGUGUGUCUCUUUUUUUUAGAAGUAUUUGAUUUGGGAAAUUGGGGGUGGCAGAGGUGUGUCCCUUUGGUGGGGUGCGGCUGCUACUUUUUUUUUUUUUUUUUUUUUAUCUUUUGGGAUUGUAGGAAUUAGGUUAGGUUUCUAUAAUUAAGGAUUUUAUAUGGAGGUGGCAAGGGAUGAUAACCAUUGGAUUAGAAGGAAAUAGAUAGCUAAAAUUAAAUCUUGCAUUUUAAGUGGAGAGUGGGCUAAUGGGUUGGGAAGAAUGGGCCGAAGACAUAGUUUGAUUAUCCUUUAGUUCUUUCGAGAGUGGAGAUAUUGGUGCCGGCGCUACAUUACGUACCACGAACACUUCCCUUGCCGCGUGUUGUUCUAAAUAGUUUUAUGUCAAAAUUUUUAUCAUUUGGUGGAGGGUGGAUGGUGCUGCUCUCAUGUAGUGUAUCCUUGGUCGCCUGGAUAAGGCGUUGUAUUUCAUGUCUUCUUCAAUGACAUGGAAUUUGACAUUUCGGGUCAUGCCAACCAUGCUGACUGGGAGAGUGAUCUCUCCUUUCGUUGUUUCGAUCGCCGUGUUGAAUCCGUUAAGGACUCAAGAGGCGGGCAUGAUUUAGUCUAGCAGUUCGAUCUGCUCUAUUACCCUUGACCUGGUAAUGUUGGCCGAGCUACCUGGAUCCACGAGCACAUGUUUUAUUCGAAAUGAAUUAACGAGGAAAGAGGUUAUCGGAGUGCCGUUAUGAGGUUGGGACGAGGUUUUGGAUUCCUCCUCGCUGAAUACGAGGGCAUCUUUGGGUACGUAUCCCCGAGUUUGCUUUUCUCUGGUGAUGGAUAUUUUUGUCCUUCUCAUCACGGGUUCCUGGGGAGUGCCGAACCCCCCCCCCCCCCCCCCAAAUAUCAUGUGUAUAACAUGUUGUGGCUCAUUUGCUUUGUUCUUCUUGGCCGUGCGUAUUAUGUAGUUCACAUACUAAGUUGUGAUUCCUCUGGGAAGGAUUCGAUUGUAUAGGCCUGGGCCACUUGGCAUCUCUGAUUUUACUGAUGGCGAACAUGAUAUCCAAUACAUCGAUGUUGAAGUUGUAUUCCGACAAGUGAGGUGCACCCAUUGGCCCUGCGUUCUUAUCAAAUCUGGCUCUGUUGAUGAGUCCUCGAGGAUCCUGUCCUCGAUCUAUUCUCUGAUCAUUGCGAGGUAGGUUGAGCCUCGGGGCAUUCCUCCUAUCUUUGGGGUACGACAAGACCUCUCUUUGUUCGGUUUCGACUCCUUUGCCAGGAGUCUGCUCAGAUAUACUGAGCCCGAGAGGUCUCCCAUCUGGUCAUCCUCGACCCUGAUCUUUGACUGAUAAUGAUUGUGGACGUCCGGCCAGGUUACGGAGGGAUACUCGAUCAGAUUCUCUUUCAGCUGCCUUGAGGCAACUGAGCUUCGUUCAUUCAGGCCUUGAGUGAAGGCCUGUACCGCUCAGUCGUCGGAGACCAGGGGUAGUUCCAUUCGUUCCAUUUGGAAGCGAGAUACGAAUUCUCGCAGCAUAUCAUUCUCCCUCUACUUAAUCUUGAAUACGUCGGACUUCCUUGUUGCUACUUUGAUGGCACCGACGUGUGCCUUUAUGAAGGAGUCUUCCAGCAUGGCAAAUAAGUCUAUGGAGUUGGGAGCUAGGUUGUGAUACCACAUCAUGGUCCCCUUCAAGAGCGUUUCUCCGAACUUCUUCAAUAAGACGGACUCGAUCUCAUCGUCUUUUAUGUUGUUGCCCUUUACUGCGCACGUAUAUGCAGUAACGGGUUCAUUGAGGUCUGAGAUACCGUUGUACUUUGGGAGUUCCGGCAUUCUGUACUUCUUUGGAAUGGGUUUCGAAUCCGCUUCCUCUAGGAACGGCCAUUGCACAAACUUCUUUGAAUCUACAUCUUUCAGGACCGGGGGUGCGCCCGAGAUUUGGUCGACCCAGAAGUUAUAGGUUUCGAUCUUCUUAUAGUUGGCUGCUAUCAUUUUCUCGCCCGACUUGAUCAUUUUGGCGAGGUCCUCGAGCAUUUUUACGAUGGUAGGAUCGGCUACCGAUCCGUUGUUGCUCGAGCUCUCCGGUACCUGUUUGGAGGGGGAGUAGCAUCCAGUGCUAUUGUGCUGGGAGUCUUCGGGUGGCUUUGCAGCUGAGCAAUAGCCAGCUAUUGUGCCUGCAACAUUUCAAAAAUAACAUGAAGGCUAACUUCCCAUUCUUCCCGAGCUGGGGUUUUUGGGCUUCCUGUUGGUCGCCUUGUUGUAUGCUUCUGUUGGUGUGUGAGGUUUUGUCGACUCGCUAUGCAUCUUGCGAACCCGCAUCCGCUAGAAUUGGUCCAGGUGCAUUGUUGAGGUUCUGUGGUGGCGCACCAACGAUUGGAACAACCAUACCAUUUUCUCCGUGGUUUUCAAGGUUGUUGUUCUCAACUCUGUUUACUGAGCCAGACAUUUUAACCUGAAAUCGAAGAUCUUCGACAAGAAAAUGUGUGAAAGAUUACUUGCGUUGUGUGACAAAACCAGCAAGAAAAUAAUUUCUAUUAAUUUUAGCCCCACUGUGGGCGCCAAACUAUUUAUCGAGAAAAUGGUAAUAACAAUUAAAUUUAUUGAUAGGACUCUAAAAAUACGUGAUCUAUUUUUAUGCUAGUUGUUAAGCAGUUGAUGCUAGGUAUGUGAAGUUUAAAGAUGAGAUACGAGCUAAAGUAGAGUUAUAACCAAUCCGAGGGGUUAGCUAUUCGGGCCUCGGACUGACCGGUGAGGGGCCUCGAGGUCGAUGCCUAGGCUCGGGCUCGAGCUAUCGGGGAUAAUCGGGAAAGGGCUAACAGGUACGAUAUAAUUAAGGGAGGCUCUUCAUGCCCAACAACAAGCAAUAAAUGAAGAACAAGUAUGAAGUCCAGAAAUAAGAGCAAGAAUAUCGAAGGAAUAUAUUAGAGAGAAAAGAGAGAAAGAGUUGUUAUUUAUCUUGUGCAGAAUAGUUGGAGCAACAGCAUCCCCUUACAAAAUGGUAAGGAUCCCCUUUAUAUAGGAGGAGAAUCCCAUCAUAGUACAAAAUACAUUAAUUUCAAAGGUAUGGAGAUGGGAUAGCUAGACGUGACACCUUGAGACAAGUUCCGGGCAGGCCGACUUUGUUAGACUUAGUCGCGUGCCUUGGGAAUUCCCCAUUUUUAUUCUAACCUCAAUCGACAUUCCCUUUAGGUUGGGCCUCGAUGAGCUCCGAGGGAGGGAACUCGGUCACAGCUUCGCGUCCUCGAGGUCUCGAGGUAUUCUUCCGAAAUGAACUAAUAGCAAGAAAUUGGGCCCCCUUAUUUCGCCACAUACAAAACUAAUUAUCAAGAGCAAAUGGAGCAAGCAAAUAGUAAGACAUCAUCAAAACGUAGCAAUGAAGCAUUAACAUUUAACAAAACAGAGCAACAACAAACUAAUAAAAUAACAAAAGCAUGAUAUCAAGAAAAAAACAACAGAAGGAAAGAAGAAAUUGACCUCAAAACGCCAGACGAAACUCGAACCGGAAACCAAUAGACAGUACCUCGACGUACGACUAAAAAGAGCCCCUAGACAACGAUCACCGACGACCUCGAAGCUCUCCGAGAAACUCAAACUAAACCUGGACGAAACUGAACUCCGGCUGGGUUUGAUGUUGUUUUUCGCUAUUUUUUUUAGAUGAGUUUUGGAUUGAAACAGUAGUAUGUUGGAGAUUGUUUGGCUAGAAUUUUGGUAUGAAGGAAUGGGCUAUUUAAGGGUGCUAAAAGGACAGUGUUACAACUAUGUUUCCAUAGCUUUUCAGAGCUAAAAUACUUACUGUUUUUGCCAUUCCUCCUCUUACUUCUCUUUGUGCGUGUGUCUUUAGGUCAGUGGCUGUUUGUGAUGAAAUCACGGUAGAGAGGAAGCAAUUUUAUGAUGUGAAUUACUCCCUGCUACGGCGCUGCUCAAUGAACUCCUAUCCCUUAUGUUUUUCCCCUUUUUCUUGCUCUCGUUUUUUUCCUUAAUUUCUAGCCCUCCCAUUUUUUAAUCUUGGAGAAGAUGAACUGAUUAGUUCUCUAUUAAUCUUAUUCUUUUAUUUCUCUAAUUUGAUAGCUUGGAACUGAAGCAGAAGGGACAAUGGGUUGCAGUGAUCUUUUUGUGGGGGGUCCUUGUUGCUAGGUCUCUUUAUCCUUUUCUUCUUCUUUUU
rnacentral:lncRNA from 1 species